GAGGGUAUAGCUCAAAUGAUAGAGCGCUUGCCUAGCGUGCGUGAGGUCCUGGGUUCAAUCUUCAGUACCUCCA
rnacentral:tRNA from 1 species